GUCAAAAAGGGAUACAGAAAGGAGUUAUCAGUAACUCUAUUUUAUUAAGCCUCACUCCUUUUAAAUUAAGCUGCUACCGCAAUUUAAUUCUUGAGCAUAACAAUGUUAGGUAAGCGACGGCUUAGAAUAUGUCAUUUCAGGGGUAUUACCCUGAUAGCAACGCAGUUCUUCAAAUCAUUUCUGAUCAUUCAAGGUCUUCAGCCUUUAGCCCAUAGAGAGCACCCUACCUUUUAUCAAAUUUUUGGCCUUAACUGAGUCUUUACAAGGUCAUUUUCUGGCUCUAUGCUCUAUUAUCUCUAAUUGUAUAUAAAGUAAUCCUUCCUGGUUUUUGCCAUAUUCAAAACCUAUAUUUGUUUUUUAGAUGGAAUGCAAAGUAAUAAAUUGUUUGUUUUUUAACCCAGAAGGGUACAGUCCUGAGGGUUCCUGUGGGGAAGAAACCCCCUAAAUAUCCUUACAUCUAGCAUUCUUCCCUCUCCCUGGUGCCAUGAUCACCAGAAAGGCAUGUGCUAAGACAGCCCGGGGAAGCACAGACAAUCUGUUCUUCCAAGACUAGGCAGCUGUGGCAACAAGGCUUGCAGGGUGCCCAUCUUGAAGUGAGGGGAGCUACAUCCUUUGCAGCAGCCUGCCAGGUCCUGAGGAAGUCACCUUGCUAUUACUACUGGGGCCUUUUCUCAAUAGAGGGGUCUUGCUCUGGGAUCUAGAACACAGAGUUGACUUGUGACUCUUGUUUAUGCAUAAGAAUUAAAUUAAUAAUCAGAAUAACCCUUGUUCCAAGUUCAAAUGUGUUUUCAGGAUCCUCAAAGUAUUUAACAUUGCCUCUUAAAAUCCAACUUAUGAAAUGGGAAUUUUGCUUCUUUGGCAAACUGCAGAGGAAACUAUGCCAUAGUAGUAAAGACUAAUAAGGGAAAAAUUGAAAUUAAAGGAGUUUUAAAAUAAAAAUAGAUCAAUCUUGUCUAGGAGGACCUAAAAUUGAUUUGCCAUGUAAAUGAAAUUCAAAGCAAAAAUGUAUCUGUAUUUUUUCACUAAAAAUAAAAAUUGUUUUCAACAGAAAAACUUUUUAAAAACUGUUUUUGACUUAAUGUAUUAUAAUUUUUAAACAGUAUAUACUAAAACUUUAACAGUCAAACAUUAUUAUAAUAAAACUGUUUUGCAACAAAUUUAUGAGUACUUCCUUAACCAUUUAGCAAAAGCUGAACUACUCUCUGCAGUUAAUAAUUGUUAAGAAAUAUGAUGUAAAAAAGAGAUUGCACAUGCAUUUUUAUCAGUAUUCUACAUUGUUUUUCUAGCUGAUACUUUUUCUGUAUCCUGCCAGGCAGGAAGGAAGUACUGGAGGACUCAGGAUCUCUUCUUCAGGUAGAAAUAGUGCUGGAUAAGGUGCAGGGCAGACUUAUUAACUGGAUGAUUUAACUCAUUUAUUAUUUGUUUGGUAAUUUGGAAUGGUCUCUCAGGCAAAAAAACUGACAUUCUAUGAAGACUCAGAGAGAAGUUGAAGUAAAGAGAAAGUAAGGUUUCCAGCCUAACAUGGUGACAAAAAUGUACCUUGGUGACAGCCAUCAGCCCCUGUAGUGAGUUUGUCUCCCAGUAAAUGCCUGUUAUUUUUAUGUCUUCCUUUAAAGGGAUGCCACAAAACAACUCCCUUCACAACACAGAUCUUGCUUUGGUUGACCUUCCUCAUUCUUAAAUGCAGACAAUUCAACCUGGACCUGGGGUAUGGGGAGCAGAAAUUGGAUUAGAGUAAUGUUGAAUGAAGAAAAGUGGAUGGCUUAACUCAGGCUUCCAAAUUAAUCUCAGGAAAAUGAAAGCUAUGAGGGUAAAUUCCCCCAAAAUCACCAGUCUCUCUUCUUCACAGAAAGCUGAACGAAUAAAAACAGCAAGAUCAGUUUCUCUUAUCUUAAUUUUCAGAAAUCAAGUAAGAAGGUAAAGGAGUACAUUCAACUGACUAGCUUCACUGCAACUAGCAAAUAAGAAAUAACUAGCAAUUAAGUAAAAAUUACGGAUCUUUCCUUCUUGUUAUUAGCAAUCCAGUAUUUUCUCAACUCCUUUACUGAGUCUACAAAGAGUAAUUCUGAAUCCGUGAUCACAUGAUUUAAGACUUGCUCAACAGCACAGUCUGAGAUCAUUUUUAUGUAAGGGGGAUAACUGAUGAGAAAAGAAAAUAAUUAUUUAAAUUCCAGGUGCCAGAAACAACACAUUUUCCACAAAGAACACUGAGAUUUCUUCAGCUUUGCCUGAUCCAGAGUGCACUACAGUUCCCUCCAUGACAAGACAUAGGCCAUUCCAGGCCACAGUGAGCAGUUCUCCUCCACAUUUAAUAACAGAAACAAGCUACCUGGAAGUCAUGGAAUCUCUUUUCUUCAGGGUAGUAGGUCCCAAUAUUUCUUCUGUGUAAUACGUGUGACAAGUGACAUUCACAAGCUCACACCCUCCCAUGGACAAGUUCACCCUCAGGCUCCAUUUGCCUCCCUGGCUGGAAUCAACCCUUUCUCCACCCAAUGGGGAUGUCAAAAAUGCAAGUAAGUAACAUCAUUACUGAAUAACUUUAAAUGUGCUCUAAUGAUUUUAACAAGUAAAUCAAUGACAAAUUUCAGAACUUGAUAAUUAAUAAGUUACGGCAUCGACUUGCAUGGUACAAAAGUUUUUAAAAAACCACCACGAACGUUAGUUUUGAAAGUAACUUAAAAUCAGUUAACUUCUUUGAAUCCUUGUUUUUUCUUUAACAUGGAAAUUGUUAUUUAUUUUUGAAAUUUUGCUUCUCUCUACUACAGUAUUUAUAAUCAUCAAUCAGAUCAUUUUGAAAAGGUCUUUAAAGCCAGUAUUUUACUUCCACCUUUGCUCUCCAAAGCCAUUGCAUCGCUUCUAUUUCACUUUUUCUUGAUAUGCAAGAAUGUCACUUGUCUACGUGCAAAUGAAUGAAGCAACUGCCGAGAAACCAGUAUUCUUUUCUGUCUUCUGAGGGGUUUUUUGGUGGAUCUCCCUAGGCUCAUUAGUCACAUUUGGGUCAGCAUGAUGGUUUCUGUCUGACACUCUCAGUAAACACUCUUGUGCUUACUUGUGCCCGUAAGCCCUACAAGUCCUGUCACACAGUCCAGGCCUGCUAUUAGCAACCAAACUCUCCUCCUCUCUUCCCCAGCCACUGCUACUUCCCUUAUCUUUCCAAGAAUUCCUAUAAACAAACCCUAGGGUGAAAUCAAAGCUAGAGAUUUAUUCUGAAAUUUUUUUCAGAAAACGUAGGUGGAGAGAUAAAAUCAACAUUGUCAAGUGGCACACUCUUGUAAUGAAUGCUAACUUUGUUCACCUCCAGAGGGAAAAGGGAUUUUCCACAUUGUUUAUGGUUUCCGGUUUCGCACUUUGUUCCCCCUGUAAGGAAGGGAGUCUUGAAAAUGAGGAAGAACACAGAAAUGUUCUCCACUGACCUCUAAACUCCUCAAACUUUACACUGUUCAGGAAGCCUUAGCAGGCCCAUCUGUGAUAAAAUUGUGAGGUAGAGGGAUUUUGUCCACUGUGAAGCAGGCCUCCUAGCACAUCCACACCUCAGUUUGGUGACAUUUACUCAUGUCCUUCCAGGAAUAUAAUGCUCUCUUCUCUUUUCCCCUUUACCCUAAUUUUACACACACACACACACACACACACACACACAUCCCUAUCCUCCAAAAUAACCUUGAAAAUAUUGGGUUGGCCAAAAGGUUUGCUCGUUUUUUUCCGUAAGAUGGCUCUAGUAGCACUUAGUUGUCUUUAACUUCAUUGAAACAAUUUUGUUAGAUUGUAUGUGACAGCUGUCAUAUCAGCGUGCACUUAAAAAAACACUUGUGCUUGCUUUAGCAGCACAUAUACUAAAAUUGGAACGAUACAGAGAAGAUUAGCAUGGCCCCUGCACAAGGAUGACACGCAAAUUCGUGAAGCGGUCCAUAUUUUUUGAUUCACUUUGUCAUACGGCAGAAACUAAAACACCAUUGUAAAGCAAUAAUACUCCAAUAAAGACAUUAAAAAAAUAAAAAAUAAAAAAAGACAUCAAAAUUGGUGAAUUUUUGUGUAGCCAUUUUAUUAUUGAAGAUGGAAGAAAAAAAGCAACAUUUUUGGCUUAUUAUGCUUUAUUAUUUCAGGAAAGAUAAAAACGCAAAAAAUGAUUUGUGCAGUAUAUGGAGAAGGUGCUGUGACUGAUCGAAUGUGUCAAACGUGGUUUGCAAAGUUCUGAGUUGGAGAUUUCUCACUGGACGAUGCUCUACCGUUGGAUAGACCAGUUGAAGUUGAUAGUGAUCAAAUCAAGACAUUAAUUGAGAAAAUCAACGUUAUACCACGCGGGAGAUAGCCGACAUACUCAAAAUAUCCGAAUCAAGCACUGAAAAUCAUUUGCACCAGCUUCGUUAUGUGAAUCGCUUUGAUGCUUGGGUUCCACAUAAGUUAAGCGAAAAAACCUUCUUGACCACAUUUCCACAUGCGAUUCUCUACUUUAACCUGAUGAAGACGUUCCAUUUUUAAAACAAAUUGUGACGGGCAAUGAAAAGUGGAUACUGUACAAUAAUGUGGAACAGAAGAGAUCGCGGGGCAAGUGAAAUAAACCACCACCAACCACACCAAAGGCCGGUCUUCAUCCAAAGAAGGUGAUGUUGUGUGUACAGUGGAAUUGGAAAGGAGUCCUCUAUUAUGAGCUCCUUCCGGAAAAGCAAACGAUUAGUUCCAACAAGUACUGCUCCCAAUUACACCAACUGAAAACAGCACUCAAUGAAAAGCAUCUAGAAUUAGUCAACAGAAAACGCAUAAUCUUCCAUCAGGAUAACUCAAGACCACGUGCUUCUCUGAUGACCAGGCAGAAACUGUUACAGCUUGGCUGGGAAGUUCUGGUUCAUCUGCCAUAUUCACCAGACAUUGCACCUUUGGAUUUCCAUUUAUUUCAGUCUUUACAAAAUUCUCUUAAUGGAAAAAAUUUCAAUUCCCUAGAAGACUGUAAAAGGCACCUGGAACAGUUCUUUGCUUAAAAAGAUAAGUUUGGGGAAGAUGGAAUUAUGAAGUUGCCUGAAAAAUGGCAGAAGGGUGAAUACGUCGUUCAAUAAAGUUCUUGGUGAAAAUGAAAAACGUGUUUUAUUUUUACUAAAAAACCAAAGGCACUUUUUGGCCAACCCAAUAUAUUCACUAUUCUUUCAUUCACAUGUUCCACUAGUAUAUACUGAAGACCUGCAAUGGAUCAGGCACUGUUUAGGUGCUGAAUACAUAGCAAUUCAUAGAGAAAAACCCCAGCCCUCAUGAAGUUUACAUUCUAAUGAACAGUGACAGGUAAUAAAUAAAUAAAUAAAUGCACAGUCUUUUAAAUUGUGAUGUGCCAAGAAGAAAAAUGAAGUAGGAAAGGGCAAUGGGGAGCCCUGGGGGUGGAAGCAAUUAUAAUUUUUAUAUGGGUGGUCAAAGAACAUCUCACUGAUAAGGUAACAUUUGAGGGGAAAAAAAGUGAAGAGUGAGUAAACCUGGUACAUGUCUGGAGCAGAACCUUCCCAGGAAAAGGAACAGAGAGUACAAGGGCUCUGAGGUGGAGCAUGCUUGGUGUACCUGUGGUGUCCAUUAUGAUGUAAAUAACUGAUAAGAGAUUAGCAUGCCACCCUCUCAGGAAUAUGCAUGUAUCAGCCAAGGGAACCUUCAGCUAAAGGCUUUCAGACCUUAGUCAGUAGGAGGGAGAGGCAUUCUGAUGGGCCAUGAAGACCUUGCUGAGGUUUUCUAGACAAUCUUGCUUUGUACACACGUCAAUUCAGCAUUAUUAUAGUCUCAUCACCUUGUAAAACUAGUGUAUGAUUUAUUUCGAAAAAAAAUCUCUGACGAUGUUGGUUCAGCACUCUACUUAGACCCAAGGACAGACAAUUUUGUUUUCUUUGCUGAGCCAAAUCUCAUUUUGCAACUGUAGUGACUUCCUCUAAUUCUCUGGUCUGUGAACACUGUUGACAAUUUCCUUAAGUCAUUUUGGUUCAGGACUUUGCAUCUGAGGAGUCAGUCCUCAUCUACUGACUCACGAGGAGGAGCCUCUGGAGAACAGCUCAGCUAGAGCCUGUGACUCACGGCAUGUGGCUCUCUAUCAGGCAGGGUGUUGGCGGUGACUGUUCACCAAGGAUGAGCUGGCUUCUUUGCACUAGACCACGGGGCUGGCAGUCUACUGGGCUUGAUUAUUACUCUGUAAGUUCUAGCUCAGAAAGGUAGCAAAGCUCUUCCCACCCUGUUGUUAGAGGCCCCACCCCCCAAAUCAGCCAGUGUUCCUCUUUUACUGCCUAAGGCAGGGGCAGCUCUUGGUCCAGCUAACUGGAGAAUCCAUGAAAAUUUCAACAUCCUGACACCUAGUGUCUGUGAUGUCCCUCUUGCCUUGGCCUCUGUGGAAAAAGACCAUGACUCCUUCUCCAGGACAAAGGGGAAGGAUGGUCCUCUUCCAUUUCUCCAUCCCAAGUGUAAUACACUCUCUUCUCAACCUGACCCUGAACUCCUCCAGCUUUGCCUUGUCCAUGUCCUUCCUGCCACACUCAACUCCGGAGAUACUAUAUCCGAGACACUUUUACUUCUUAAUUAUCAGCCAGGCCACUGUGAAACUCUGACUCACACCCACCAUCCGCUACUCCUCUCCAGCUCCUGGGCUGCAGUAUCAUUGGGGAAAACAGACAAACACCCACCAACACGUGUGUAUGUGCACAUGUAUGCAUGUGCGUCUCACACACACACACAUGCACACACACACGCAUACACACACAAUCCCAGACCAACAUUUUCUGACCAGAUCCACUAUUAAUCCAUCCAGAGUGGAUAUUUCGAACACCUUCCCCCUGUAACUCUCCUUUUCCACUUGUAAUUAGUUCCUUCCAUGUGGGCUUGGUUCAACAAAUCUUUUUUUUUUUUUUUCCUUAAGGUAAAGUAGCUUUAUCUUUUUUUAAAAUUUAAUUUAUUUAUUUUUUAUACAGCAGGUUCUUAUUAGUUAUCUGUUUUAUACAUAUUAGUGUAUACAUGUCAAUCCCAAUCUCCCAAUUCAUCACACCACCACCCCAUCUCACCCCACUUUCCCCUCUUGGUGUCUGUACGUUUGUUCUCUACAUGUGUCUAACAAAUCUUUAUUGAUCAUCUAAUAUGUGCUGGACACCAGGGGCUGGGCCCACUAUGAAUAAUUUAUGGCCUCUGCUCUUAAAGAAGUAACAAUCUUGAGAAAAGAAACAAUCGAAGUAGCAGACAGGAAUGAACUAACCAUAAACCACAGUGUGACUGCUGCUAUGUAGGUUGUGUGAGUCACUUUGAACACAGCCACAGAGAAUGAAAGGAAAGUUAAGUACAGUAAUUGGAGAGAAUGCAAAAAGGAGAAUUGAGGAUGACUCUCAGGUUCCUGGCUUGGGCGGCCAAGUUGACAAGGCAUAUGAGGAAGUAGCAAGCCUGAGCUGGAGAGGUAGAGAGGGAUAGGUAAAUCUUUUUUGUCAGUAUGUUGAAUUUGAUAUCCCUACAAAAUUAUUAUGGUAGUUUGACGUCCCUAUGAAAUGUCCAAAUGGUAAUGUCCCAUGUUCGAAGCUCAGAAGAGAAAGUUGUGAUGGAUCUGCACAAUGGAAGUGGCUACAGAGUCGUGCUAGGUACCAAGUAAGAAGAAAAGAUAGAAAGGAAAGAACUCAAAAGGCAUAAACACUUAACAGGUUGGCAGAGAAUAAGAAAUGUAUUGAGAAAGAAUAGUCAAAAAGAAAGAAAAUUAGGCGACUCUUUCUGCCUCCUAAGUCUACCUGCAAAUGUGUUCUCAUUUCAAACUACUUGCUAGACUUUUCUCAUUGGAUAUUGCUCUAAUAUCUCAAAUUCAAUUUUCACACACACAAAAAAACCUUUACUUCUCACUUUCCUGUUUGUGUCAACGUUAUGAAAAAAAAAAAAGCUUUUUUCUCAGAUAAAUCUGAAACCCCUGACUCUUCACCAACAGCCUUUAUGCUUUGAGUUACUCUGUCCUGACAGGUUCAAUGUCUCCUUCACAAUUAUUCAUCCUUUAAGAAUCAGCUCACCACACCACUCCACCCCAACCUCUCAGUCCAAAGCACGAGUUAGAUACUCUCUUCCCUACGUUGGCUUUAUACCAUGCAAAUAGUUCUACCACUGCACUUAUAACAGUCUAUAUGUUAGGUAUAGCUAUACUAUUUCAUAAGCAUCUAUUUUUGUUUCUUGGAUUACUUAUCAUUGUAUUGACAAUAAAAUGCAAAUUAAAUGUUUGGUGAACAGAGACAAACAAAAUGUUGAAUAAAUUAACAGAUGAGUGGAACUAAACCAGAAAACAAACUCCUCCUCUUUCACCCUUCUCCCUUUACCUAGAUAUAUGUCAUAGUUUUUCCUGUAACCACAUACCCUUUACGUUCUUCAUUUUUUAAAUUGAGAUAGUUUAUGUACAAUAUUAUACAAGUUACAGGUGUGCCAUAUAGUGAUUCACAAUUUUAAAGGUUAUGCUCCAUUUAUAGUUAUUAUAAAAUAUUGACUAUAUUUCCUGUUCCACAUACCCUUUAUUAAUCAACAUUCUAUGAGAAAGCUCUUGACCAUCAUAACCAGUUUUUGUUGGUCUUUAUGAAACCUUUUUUCUUAACAUUUUUGUUUUAGAUAAUACUAAGAGAUGAUUCUAAUAAGCUAAUCACCUGUGUGUACAUGUGAAACAAAGUAUGCUGGGAAGCAUAACCCAGAUAGAUAUUUUGAAUAUAUCUAGAUGUUAAAGCUAAUUAUUUGCACAAAGUACGUUUUUUAACUGAUGCAUUAUAAGUACGUGUCUUAAAAGUACAUUUACCAUACUGUUCAACUAAUUUAGGGGGGAAAACCUGCAAGUUAAAUCUUUCACAUCUUGUUAACACUUCAGUUUAUUUUAAAGCAAACAGCACUUCAUUGGGAAUGGCAUUUGUUCUUGUGCAAAGAGAUUUAUGAAAUAGAUUGACUCUCAUGCCAGCAGAAAAACGUCAGGAGAUAGAGAACUAGCUGUGUAUGAUCUGACUUCCAACAAGUCCCUUCAACUCACUGAGUCAUAAGUUUCAGAAUUUUUAAAGAGGAACUAAUACAAGAAUGACAUACUAUGGCAUUGGAUUGUACACACGUUGACAUCUCUCAAAGCCUUACAAUAAAUGUCUUAUAGAGGAAUACUUUCCUGAAACUGCCUUUGACAGCCUCCAGGGGAGAGUAAAUAAUCCAAAAGAAGUAAAAUUUGCAUUAGCUUUUCUCAUUCUGGAAGCUACUAUUAUCUUCAUUACUAAACAGAGAUCAAACUCUAGAUAAUGAGGCAUAAAUACUUGCCUAUAGGAGUCAGUUGCAACAGCACUAAUUUUAGGUAGGACUUAUGUAUAGUUUCCAGGGAUGAUUUGUGAGUGUUUUGGUAAUGUCUGCCUUGUUUAAUUAGUAGCUUUCCCAGCAGUGAUGGGGAAUGAGAAUUAUCACCAAGGGUGCUACCAACCACUCCUAACUCAAGAGAAAGGAGUGGAAACUAGAAGACAUUCUUCCUUCCUGACUCAGCUACAUAAUCAAUGUUUAUUGAGAGUCCAUCAUGGUACUCAGCACUGUUCUAGUCACUGGAAACAGUGGGAAACUAAGCAGACACUCCUCCUAGAUACUUAGUCCUCAGUUUAGCCACUGAUACUUAAGUAACACUAUGAGAAAAGUCACUCUUAAUUUACUCCCUAAACAGAGGAAAAUGUGGUUCUCAGCUCAAAGAGGGAGUGGUCCCUGGCAGCUUAGAAAGAAAGGGACUAAGGCAGAGAUGGCCAUUGUACUGGAUCUGGAAAAGUGGCAAGAUUAGAACUGGGGAAAGAAGGGUAGGAGAUACUGGAGGAGGGAGAGGAAGGCACUUUUAAACACAAAAGGAACUCUGCUAUUUUGGCCAACUCUGAUGUCAAAUGUCUUGUUUUAGUAGCAAAUCAACCCUUUAGACUUUUAUAGGCUCUUCCAAUACUUCACUAUCAAUAAUUAGCCUUUCUUAGAAGUUUCCUAAUCUGUUGCUGAUUCUAGAGUUUCUGUUUUUUCGAGAAGAAUCCAACUUAAUAUUUACACUUGCAAAAAUAAUAACACCACCACCAUUUGUUGAACCCGGAUGUGCUAGACACUACAGAACGCAUCAUAUAGAUUUUCUGAUUUAAUCUUCACAACAGCCCUAUUUGUUGGAUGCCAUUAAUCCCAUUUGAUAGAUCUGGAAACUGAGGCACAGAGAGGUUGUCCAGGUCACACAGCUAAGUAACUAUUGCAGAGAGGAUUCUGACCUCUAGUGACGCUUUGUGUAAGAGAUUCUGUAAAUCAUAUCGAAGUGUAUAUGUUUCCCUGAACCCCUCUAGAGUUUUCUCCCAGUCGAGGCUAGUUAACAAGGGGUCGAAGAACUGUCCAUUUGGAUAAUGUGUGAUUCUUCUAAUAA